rnacentral:rRNA from 1 species
UACGUAGGGGGCAAGCGUUGUCCGGAAUCAUUGGGCGUAAAGAGCGUGUAGGCGGUUCGGUAAGUCGGCUGUGAAAGUCCAGGGCUCAACCCUGGGAUGCCGGUCGAUACUGCCGGACUAGAGUUCGGAAGAGGCGAGUGGAAUUCCAGGUGUAGCGGUGAAAUGCGUAGAUAUCUGGAGGAACACCGGUGGCGAAGGCGGCAUCCUGGACCGACACUGACGCUGAGGAGCGAAAGCCAGGGGAGCAAACGGG